rnacentral:rRNA from 1 species
GGACACCUACCCUUGGAUCUGGGAUAAACCCGGGAAACUGGGCAUAAUACCGGAUAAGCCACAUAUGCUGGAAUGCUUUGUGGCUCAAAGCUCCGGCGUCCAAGGAUGGGUCUGCGGCCUAUCAGGGUAGUAGUGGGUGUAAUGUACCUACUAGCCUACGACGGGUACGGGUUGUGAGAGCAAGAGCCCGGAGAUGGAUUCUGAGACACGAAUCCAGGCCCUACGGGGUGCAGCAGGCGCGAAAACUUUACAAUGCGGGAAACCGCGAUAAGGGAAUCUCGAGUGCCAGCAUAUAAUGUUGGCUGUCCAGAUGCCUAAAAAGCAUUUGUUAGCAAGGGCCGGGCAAGACCGGUGCCAGCCGCCGCGGUAACACCGGCGGCCCGAGUGGUAACCGUUAUUAUUGGGUCUAAAGGGUCCGUAGCCGGCCAGGUAAGUUCUUUGGGAAAUUUAACCGCUCAACGGUUAAGCUUUCAGGGAAUACUGCUUGGCUUGGGACCGGGAGAGGUCAGAGGUACUUCAAGGGUAGGGGUGAAAUCCGUUAAUCCUUGAGGGACCACCAGUAGCGAAGGCGUCUGACCAGACCGGGUCCGACGGUGAGGGACGAAGGCUAGGGUCGCGAACCGGAUUAGAUACCCGGGUAGUCCUAGCUGUAAACGAUGCGGGCCAGGUGUUGGCAUUACUGCGAGUGAUGUCAGUGCCGAAGGGAAGCCGUUAAGCCCGCCAUCUGGGGAGUACGGUCGCA